rnacentral:rRNA from 1 species
GAUGAACGCUAGCUACAGGCUUAACACAUGCAAGUCGAGGGGCAGCGUAGUGUAGCAAUACAUGGGCGGCGACCGGCGCACGGGUGCGUAACGCGUAUCCAACCUUCCCGUUACUCUUGGAUAGCCUUCCGAAAGGGAGAUUAAUACGAGAUGGUGUUGAAAUUCCGCAUGUUAUUUCAACUAAAGAUUCAUCGGUAACGGAUGGGGAUGCGUGACAUUAGGUAGAUGGCGGGGUAACGGCCCACCAUGCCGACGAUGUCUAGGGGUUCUGAGAGGAAGGUCCCCCACACUGGAACUGAGACACGGUCCAGACUCCUACGGGAGGCAGCAGUGAGGAAUAUUGGUCAAUGGCCGGAAGGCUGAACCAGCCAAGUAGCGUGAAGGAUGAAGGUUCUAUGGAUUGUAAACUUCUUUUAUACGGGAAUAAAACCACCUACGUGUAGGUGCUUGUAUGUACCGUAUGAAUAAGCAUCGGCUAACUCCGUGCCAGCCGCCGCCGUAAUAC